rnacentral:rRNA from 1 species
CCUACGGGUGGCAGCAGUGAGGAAUAUUGGUCAAUGGCCGUAAGGCUGAAGCAGCCAAGUCGCGUGAAGGAAGAAGGAUCUAUGGUUUGUAAACUUCUUUUAUAGGGGAAUAAAGGUAUCCACGUGUGGAUAUUUGCAUGUACCCUAUGAAUAAGCAUCGGCUAACUCCGUGCCAGUCGCCGCGGUACUACGGAGGAUGCGAGCGUUGUCCGGAUUUAUUGGGUUUAAAGGGUACGUAGGUUGUAUUUUAAGUCAGCGGUGAAAGUCUGUGGCGCAACCAUAAAAUUGCCGUUGAAACUGGAAGACUUGAGUGUGUUAGAGGUAAGCGGAAUGCGUGGUGUAGCGGUGAAAUGCAUAGAUAUCACGAAGAACUCCAAUUGCGAAGGCAGCUAACUAAGCCAUAACUGACACUGAAGCACGAAAGCGUGGGUAUCAAACAGGAUUAGAUACCCGUGUAGUC